rnacentral:rRNA from 1 species
CUGGGUGGAUUAGUGGCGAACGGGUGAGUAACACGUGAGUAACCUGCCCCUGACUCUGGGAUAAGCGUUGGAAACGACGUCUAAUACUGGAUAUGACUGCCGGCCGCAUGGUCUGGUGGUGGAAAGAUUUUUUGGUUGGGGAUGGACUCGCGGCCUAUCAGCUUGUUGGUGAGGUAAUGGCUCACCAAGGCGACGACGGGUAGCCGGCCUGAGAGGGUGACCGGCCACACUGGGACUGAGACACGGCCCAGACUCCUACGGGAGGCAGCAGUGGGGAAUAUUGCACAAUGGGCGAAAGCCUGAUGCAGCAACGCCGCGUGAGGGAUGACGGCCUUCGGGUUGUAAACCUCUUUUAGUAGGGAAGAAGCGACUGAAUUUAUUCUGAGUGACGGUACCUGCAGAAAAAGCACCGGCUAACUACGUGCCAGCAGCCGCGGUAAUACGUAGGGUGCAAGCGUUGUCCGGAAUUAUUGGGCGUAAAGAGCUCGUAGGCGGUUUGUCGCGUCUGCUGUGAAAUCCCGAGGCUCAACCUCGGGCUUGCAGUGGGUACGGGCAGACUAGAGUGCGGUAGGGGAGAUUGGAAUUCCUGGUGUAGCGGUGGAAUGCGCAGAUAUCAGGAGGAACACCGAUGGCGAAGGCAGAUCUCUGGGCCGUAACUGACGCUGAGGAGCGAAAGCGUGGGGAGCGAACAGGAUUAGAUACCCUGGUAGUCCACGCCGUAAACGUUGGGCGCUAGAUGUAGGGACCUU